GUAGCAAAGCUACAAGAGCCCCUGACUUAGAGGAAGGGACACCUGUCUCUGCUCCUCCUCUGGGGAAGGUUUGAAGGCACUCCCCAUGGGUCAACAGCUCUGCAGCCCAGUGCAGUGUUGCCUCAGGAGCGAGCCUGAGGAGAAGAGGGCACAAGAUCCCCACAAAUACCAAGUACUCUGGCCAACCCUGCUCUGCUAGAGGAGGUGGGGCCAGGGCAAGUAUCCCAAAAAUAGCCAUCUGGGAGCCUGGGAGCCCUGCCUCUGAGGUCAGAUUUGGAACUGAGAAUCCCAGAGAGACUCUGUUCUCAUACUCUCCGUGGAAUGUCCUCUCGGGCAAGCCAUCUGGACACUCUGGGAAGAAGGUACAGGCCCGCUGUGUACAGGGAGGUCCCUGUGGUAAGUUCUUCUGCUUUGAAAGUAUUUGUAGAUUAAGAGCCCCGGUUGGCAUGAGCAACCGGAAGCGGGCAGAAGCGAAGCAAGGCUCUGGACUUUAACUCUGCAGCUCCUCAUCCGUCAAACAGCGGAGCAUAAAAACCAACAGCUGUGGAUCCCGAUGUCUGGCAGCUCCAUAUGGGAAGCUGAUCCCGGCCUCUUUACUCAGUUACUCUUCCCCGUGCCUUUCCCAAGUCCAAAACACCAGUGAAGACAUCUUUGAAGGCUGAGAGACCCAUGAAGAUCCCAUUCCUACACUUGGCUGCAGGAGACCCUGAAUACCAUACAAACCUCUCUGAGCUUCCCAAACAGGUAAUGUCUGUGAGAUUAAACAGGGGAUCCCUGAAGAGUGCCAAGCAGCAGGAAGUACCCAACAAGACAGUGCCCUCCUAGAGACGGAGCUGUGAAGUUCAGUCAAAGGGAACCAUGAUCGUGCUGGUUUUCAUUUGCUUUCCUGAUGAGAGCCAACUGUUUACAGCCAGGAGUCACUGUUUCACCUUCCUUUGAAGCAUGACUAUGUACGAGUCUUCAGCAGUUAGGGCUACUAAUGCCAUGGGCCUGCUGCCUGUUUGAGUGGAGUUCUCAGUGUUACUAUAUGUGGUGGUUUGAAUGAGAAUGCUCCCAUGGGCACAUACAUUCGGAUGCUUAGUCCCCAGUUGCUGGAAUGGUUUGGGAAGGAUUAGGUGUGGCCUUGUUGGAGGAGAUGUGUCACUGGGGGGUGGGCUUUGAGUGUUCAAAAGCCCAAACUGUUCCUAAUUAGCUCUCUCUGCUUACUACUUGUGAAUAAGGAUGUAAGCUCUCAGCUACUGCUCCAUGGCCAUGCCUGCCUGCCUGACUGCCCACCCCAUGCUACCGGCUAUGAUGAUAAUGGACUCGCCUUUGAACUAUAACCCCCAGUAAGCUCUCUUAGGAGUUGCUUUGUUCAUGGUGCUUUGUCCUGAUGGUAGAAAAGUAGCUAAGAUACUGAAUGGCAAAGAUAUGCAAAUAGCUAAGACGUGGCAAAAUGGAAAGAGCAGGUCUUUAGUUGCUAUAACCGAAUGCCUGAGGCUAGGAACUUUAUAAAGACAAGAGGUUUACUUAGCUCAAGGUUCCAAAGACUCAAGAGUGUACUGCUAGCUUCUUCUCAGCCUUGGUAGAAUGCUCUGCCUACACUACCACAUGGCAGAAGGGAUCAUGGUGGGAGUGAGUGUGAGAAGGAAAGGUCACAUGGGGAGGCAAGAAACGAGAGAUCCACAGGCAAGGAUCAUUUUCUUCAUCGGCUUUCAUUUUUGUGGUGCCAAGCAGCAAACUCCGGGCCUGUGUAAGCUGUGUAUCCACCAAGCUCUGUCCUUCCUUCCUUCCUUCCUUCCUUCCUUCCUUCCUUCCUUCCUUCUCUCCUUCCUUCCUUCUUUCCUUCCUUCCUUCUUUCCUUCCUUCCUUCUCUCCUUCCUUCCUUCUUUCCUUCUUUCCUUCCUUCUUUCCUUCUUUCUUUCCUUCCUUCCUCCUUCCCUUCUUUUGACAGGGUUUCACUAUGUAGCCCUAACUGACCUAGAACUCACUAUGUAGAACAGACUACCUUUUAACCGUAGGCUUACCUCUACUUUCCUAGUGCUGGGAUCAAAUCUGUUCACUACUGUGUCUGGCCCUUUUAUAUUAAAAAAAAAAAUAGUCAAGAGCUGGAACUGGAGAGAUGGCUCAGUGGUUAAGAGUACUGCUGACUGCUCUUUCAGGGGACCCAGGUUCAAUUCCUAGCAUCCACAUGGCAGCUUCAAUUGUCUGUAACUCCAGUUCCGGGGGCAUUGGCAAUCUCACACAGUAUAUGCAGGUAGAACACCAAAUGCAUAUAAAAUAUUAAUACAAUCUUUAAAAAAAAUUAAGGGUCAAGCAUGGUGACACACUCCUAUAAACCUAGCACCCAGGAGGCUAAGGCAAGAGGAUUGUUAGUUCUAAGCCAGCCUGGGUUACAGAGAGUUCAAGGCCAGUUUACCCUCCCCCAAAUUAUUAAGAAUUUCGAUGACACCAGGGCGUUCAAUUCUUCUAAGCAUGGUGCCUGUAAUUAUACAGGUCAUACACUGGCCCGGAUGCCACCAUUCAUGGGUCCCCAGGUCCUGCAUAGCUGUAGUCACACCGAUGACCCCUUAUAGCCAUGGUUGCUGACGGAGCCAUGGUUGCUGACGGAGCCAUGGUUGCUGACGGAGCCAUGGUUGCUGAUGGAGUGCUUCCCUCUGGGAGGUGUGAACACAGAAGAAGAUGGUCCAGCCGGCCUUCUCCAGGCUGCUGUCAACACCAGACUGUCCUUCACUGUGUCUUCCUCACUGCUAAAGGGUUCAGAAGACAGAAAAGGAACAGGAACCAGGGUUUGACAACAGCUUCCAAUAAUAGAACCUGCAGGUUGGACGAGGGACCCCUAUUUCUGAGCAUUGCUUUUAGAGACAGCUUUAACUGGGGAAACAGCCUUUCCUCCUCAUUUCAUCUCUAGAGGCCAGACCAGAAAGACAUACAGCAGAGAUAGGAGUAAGUAUAUCUAAGUAUAUCUGGGUAACUGCUAUGCUUACCAGGCAGGCCUGAAGGCCCUUCACAGCUUAUCACAUGGAUGUCCCUGCAUAGCUGUAGUCUUACUGACGACCCCUCAUGGCCAUGGUUGCUGACAGGUUAGCGCCCUCCUCCUGGCCUUCCAAAAUGCCCUUGUUUGAAUUAGAGAGGGGGCUCUAUGAUUAGACCUUCAGAGGUUCCCAGCUAUUAAGUCACAGCCUGGCUGUUUCUUUCUGCAGAUCUACAAUCUACAAGGGAUCCUGAGACUCUCGCCCCCACGCCCCUCUCUUUAGGAAGGGUUGUGUGUCUACUUGUUCAAGACAAGAAGAUAUUUCUAUAGAUCAGACUGGCCUUGAACUUACCAUGAAGCCUAGGGUGACCUUGAACUCCUGGUGCUCCUGCCUCCAUGUCCUGAAUGCUAGGAUAUUUGUGUGUACCAUCUCCUGACACCAAGCCCAGAAACCUGUAUGCAGUGCUCAGAGGUCAUACGUGCGUGCAUGGUGCGUUAUUCUUACCACAUUUUCAAAUGCAGCAUGGUGUGGGGGCCACACAGAACAAAGCACCUGGUACAGUGCAGAGUCUGUGCUUGGCAUAUGACCCUCCAAACCACCAAAACGGGGGAAGGAGGGAGAGGGGAAGAGGGAGACACAGAGAGACAGAGACACAGAGUGAUAGACAGAGACACGGAGAGAGACAGACACAGAGAAAGACAGAGAGAGACAGAGAGAGACAGAGACAGAGAAACACAGAGAGAAAGAAACAGAGAGAGACACACAGAGAAAGAGAUCUAGAAAUAGAAUAACCUCGUGUCCAACAGUCCUGCCUCUGAAUGUAAUAUAUAUAUAUAUAUAUAUAUAUAUAUAUAUAUAUAUAUAUAUAUAUAUAUAUAUAUAUAUAUAUAUAUAUAUUCCUGCGCAAACAACAUGACCAAAAAGCAAGUUGGGGAGGAAAGGGUUUAUUCAGCUUACACUUCCUCACUGCUGUUCAUCACCAAAGGAAGUCAGGACUGGAACUCAAGCAGGACAAGAAGCAGGAGCUAAUGCAGAGGCCGUGGAGGGAUGUGUCUUACUGGCUUGCUUCCCCAGGCUUGCUCAGCUUGCUUUCUUACAGAACCCAAGACUACCAGCCUAGGGAAGGCACCACCCACAAUGGGCUGGGUCCUCCCGCCUUGAUCACUAGUUGAGAAAAUGCCUUACAGCUGGGUCUCAUGGGAACAUUUCCUCAACUGAGGCUCCUUUUCUGUGAUAACUCCAGCUUGUGUCAAGUUGACACACAAAACCAUAUAUAUAUAUAUAUAUAUAUAUAUAUAUAUAUAUAUAUAUAUUUCACUGGAUAUGGUAAGAAGUAGGUCAAUUUAACAAUUUAAGUUCUAGGCCAAACUGGGCUACAUAGUGAGACACUGUACAUAUGUAUAUUUAUAUCUUGAACGUCUCGAAAAGUCUAAAGAGGCAAAGAUGUAAUGUAUUUCUUCUAUUAUAAAAACUCAUAGACAAAAAUCACCUAUAACCCCACUGCCUAGGGGCAAAUACUAACAACAUAUUUCUUCCUAUACACCAGACGUAAAUAUGUGUCUGUCUCUUGAUUUAGCUAUAACUUAUGUUAGUAGAGUCACAGAGCCGCAUGGCGUAUGCCUUUAACCUGAGCUUUGGGGAGGCAGAGGCAGCAGGUGUAUCUGUAUGAGUUUGAGGCUAGCCUGGUCUACAUAUCUUGUUCCAGGCUAGAACCAGAGUUACAUAGUAAGACUCUACCUCCAAAAGCAACAACAACAAAAGAUACAAUUACAUUUACCACUUUGGCGCUGUUAUAAGAACUCCCCAAAUCCUACAAUGUGAUUUUUUUUUCUGUUUUGUUUCUUGAGACAGUGUUUCUUUGGAUAGUCCUGGCUGUCUUGGAACCAGAUAUGUAGACCAGGCUAGCCUCAAACUCAGAGAUCAACCUGCCUCUGGCUCCCAAGUACUAGAUUAAAUACAUGCACCACCAUUGUCUAGCAAUGUGAUUUUUUUUUUUAAAGACAAUGUCUCCCUCCAUAGCCCAGGCUGAUUUCAAAUUCCCUUGUUCUUCUUGACUCAGUCUCCCAAGUCUGGGACUACACCAGACUAACAUGAUUUUAAUGGCUUCAUGCAGUUGAUCAGAUGCACAUCACAGUAAGACAGACUUCAAUUUCUGAGCAUUUAGGUUGAUUAAAAUUUCUUGAUUUCUUUUUUAACACCAUUCACAUCCCAUGUCAUAUACUGUCAUCCAUGUCAUUUCCUUAGACUGGCUUUCAGACUAUCUGGAGGCCAGUGGUACAUCCGCAUGCUACCCCGAUGGUCUGGUUCUGUCUUCAGAACCAUGUCACCUAGAGCUCUGUUCCUUGUAGGCUUUGAAAGGCCCCAGAUUUUCUCUCCCCUGACUUUGUCUAUUUUUGACUCCUGCAGGUGCUGGUGAGCUAAAAACUCCAGUUUAAGCAAAGCAAAAAACAGGAAUGUAUGUUUUCACUGGUUAGCUUUGUAGACUCAAGGAAAUUCUGCAAAAAAAAAAAAAAAAAAUUGAGAAUCUCUGUUACUGGAGACUUGCAGGUUGCCUCCCACAACCCCGCCCUUCCUGAAGCGAGAGAAUGAGGGCUCAGAGCAGGGAGCAGUGCAUGUGUCAUUCCUCUAUCUUGAUGGACAGGUGGUGCAGAAACCCUGGGGACUGAUGAGCUGGGGUCACAGAUUCUCCAGUUCACUGUACCAGCUUCCAGAACAGCUGUGGCUGUGGGGUCAGGUGGGGAUAUAUCUGGACACAGCCUCAAUGACAACUACACCACUCGUCCUGGCACUCAGGGAGCCAGUGACAUUCUCUAGCCAGUAACAUUCUCUAGGAUGACAGCUCUGGCCCCUCUCCUACGGUCAGCUUAGAAACUCAGGACUCAGCUCAGUAGAUUGUGAGUACUCUGGAGGCCUGCACUUGGCCAGAGAAGAGGAUGGGACUCAGACCCGAGGUGUGAAAGCAAUGGAAUAGGAAGCCGGACCGGAAGGAGACCCUGCCUUCACUAAGCACCUACUGAGUGCAGUUUGAUGACCAGCAUCCAAGGACCCAGAGGCUGUUCCUGAAUCUGGGCUAGCCUUGGGCUUCUGCUCAUCUUGUGCACCAUCUCUACCAGGUUCAUUCUGACACAGAAAACAAAAGCUCAAAGUCUGCCACAGAGGAGAAUCCUCCAAGAUAAAGACCAGUGAAGUGGUGUAGACCCCCAGGAUGGGACUUCAGGGCUAACGGCCAGUAGUCAGGCACAGCACUGGAGCACUGAGUCAGAAGUCACUGUGGGUCUGACCCCUGGGAUCAAGGGAAAGUCUUUCAAUGGUCAGUCGUGCCAUUACAGCUGGGGAUCAAAGUGACUUCAAACCAAACAAACAAAAUAUGGGCUGUGAUGAAGCUCGGUGGUGGUUCGUGCCUACGAUACAUAUGGCCAAGGGUUUGAUCUUCAGCACAGCAAGAGAAAACAAAAACAGACUAAAGAAGAAAAAGCAGGCUCCCGUAAGGUCUCAGGCCCCAUGCGUACAGCAGCUGUGUGGGCAAACCUGGAAGGGUGCGGACCUUCCAACCAAGCUCCAAGAGUAGGUUCCUGAGACCCCAGUGAGCAGAAACAGGGUGUGGUGAAAAAUCAAACGAAUUGCUUCUUUAAAGCCACCUGAAUGUUUUAGGAAUGUCUGGAUUUGGGCUUCUCUUUCCUGCAGCAGGAUAUUUAAAGAAAACAGACCUGAAAGGCUUCAGGUCCAGAGCAAAGAGCCUUCUGUGUGCCUCCUCCUGGUCUCUGCUUUGGAAAAGAUUCCUUUCCUCUUUGCUCUGGAUUGUACCCAAGGCAGCCAGAACCUGUUCUCUGAGUCAGGCCAACAGCCCAAGUCUCUGCGGAGAGUCAAAGUGAACUGGACACAGGCUGACCUCACAGCCUUACAAACUGUCUCACCCCAGGGGUCCUGCAGCAGGGGCUUUGGGGCUCCAGACCGUACUGCCAACUGGCAGCCAAGGGCUCACCCCUGCUCCCCAAGGGGGCCACUCCUGCCCCCCAAGACCAAGCCUAGCUCCUUCCCUUGGAAGAUAACUUGGCUAAAGGAAAGGGAGCUGAAAAGGUUACCACAGAAAGGUUAUAUAGGCUUAGGGCCUAGGAGUUAAUGAGGUGGCCUACCCACAACCUUGGCUAUUUCCAAGUCAUCUCAAUCCGGAGUGUGCAGUGUGCAGAAGGGCAAAGGGGAGGAGAGAGAGAGAGAGAGAGAGAGAGAGAGAGAGAGAGAGAGAGAGAGAGGAGAGAGAGAGGAGAUAGGGACCCAGCCUAGUGGCUCAGAUCUAGAAUCCUAUCUACUUGAAAGGCUUGAGACAGGAGGAUUAUAAAUUCAAGGUCUGACUGGGCUAAGAGCAAGCCUCAAGGCUAGAACCUGUCUAUAAUGUCAAUAAAAAUGGAAGAAAGAACA